rnacentral:rRNA from 1 species
AGUGAACGCUGGCGGUAGGCCUAACACAUGCAAGUCGAACGGCAGCACAGUAAGAGCUUGCUCUUACGGGUGGCGAGUGGCGGACGGGUGAGGAAUACAUCGGAAUCUACUUUUUCGUGGGGGAUAACGUAGGGAAACUUACGCUAAUACCGCAUACGACCUACGGGUGAAAGCAGGGGAUCUUCGGACCUUGCGCGAUUGAAUGAGCCGAUGUCGGAUUAGCUAGUUGGCGGGGUAAAGGCCCACCAAGGCGACGAUCCGUAGCUGGUCUGAGAGGAUGAUCAGCCACACUGGAACUGAGACACGGUCCAGACUCCUACGGGAGGCAGCAGUGGGGAAUAUUGGACAAUGGGCGAAAGCCUGAUCCAGCCAUACCGCGUGGGUGAAGAAGGCCUUCGGGUUGUAAAGCCCUUUUGUUGGGAAAGAAAAGCAGCAGGUUAAUACCCUGCUGUUCUGACGGUACCCAAAGAAUAAGCACCGGCUAACUUCGUG